UACGUAGGGUGCGAGCGUUAAUCGGAAUUACUGGGCGUAAAGCGUGCGCAGGCGGUUCGUUAAGUUCGAUGUGAAAGCCCCGGGCUCAACCUGGGAACUGCGUUGGAAACUGGCGGGCUUGAGUGUGGCAGAGGGGGGUGGAAUUCCACGUGUAGCAGUGAAAUGCGUAGAGAUGUGGAGGAACACCGAUGGCGAAGGCAGCCCCCUGGGCUAACACUGACGCUCAGGCACGAAAGCGUGGGGAGCAAACAGG
rnacentral:rRNA from 1 species